rnacentral:rRNA from 1 species
CCUACGGGUGGCUGCAGUCGAGAAUCUUCGGCAAUGGGCGCAAGCCUGACCGAGCGACGCCGCGUGCGGGAUGAAGGCCCUUGGGUUGUAAACCGCUGUCAGAGGGGAUGAAAUUCCAGAGGGUUCUCCCUCUGGAUUGACAAAGCCUCAAAGGAAGCACGGGCUAAGUACGUGCCAGCAGCCGCGGUAACACGUACUGUGCGAACGUUAUUCGGAAUCACUGGGCUUAAAGGGUGCGUAGGCGGCCAUUUAAGUAGGGUGUGAAAUCCCCCGGCUCAACCGGGGAAUGGCGCUCUAAACUGGAUGGCUUGAGUGAGAUAGGGGUGUGUGGAACUUCCAGUGGAGCGGUGAAAUGUGUUGAUAUUGGAAGGAACGCCGUUGGCGAAAGCGGCACACUGGGUCUUUUCUGACGCUGAGGCACGAAAGCUAGGGGAGCGAAC